AGCAGGGUAAUUCAGUUUGGUAGAAGUUAGGUCCCAUAAUCCUAAAGCCACUGGUUCAAAUCCAGUCCCUGCCA
rnacentral:tRNA from 1 species